rnacentral:rRNA from 1 species
CGGGUACAACGAGUCGCAAGCUCGCGAGAGUAAGCUAAUCUCUUAAAGACCGUUCUCAGUUCGGACUGUAGGCUGCAACUCGCCUACACGAAGUCGGAAUCGCUAGUAAUCGCGGAUCAGCAUGCCGCGGUGAAUACGUUCCCGGGCCUUGUACACACCGCCCGUCACACCAUGGGAGUUUGUAACGCCCAAAGUCGGUGGCCUAACCUUUAUGGAGGGAGCCGCCUAAGGCGGGACAGAUGACUGGGGUGAAGUCGUAACAAGGUAAC